UACGUAGGGUGCGAGCGUUGUCCGGAAUUACUGGGCGUAAAGCGUGCGUAGACGGUUACAUAAGUCGGGUGUGAAAGCCCCGGGCUCAACCUGGGAAUUGCAUUCGAGACUGCGUAGCUAGGGUGCGGAAGAGGGAAGCGGAAUUUCCGGUGUAGCGGUGAAAUGCGUAGAUAUCAGGAGGAACACCGGUGGCGAAGGCGGGUCUCGUGGGCAGUGAACUGACGCUGAGGAGCGAAAGCAUGGGGAGCGAACAGG
rnacentral:rRNA from 1 species